GGGAACAUACCCUUUUCUACGGAAUAGCUCUGGGAAACUGGAAUUAAUACCGUAUACGCCCUACGGGGGAAAGAUUUAUCGGGGAAGGAUUGGCCCGCGUUGGAUUAGCUAGUUGGUGGGGUAAAGGCCUACCAAGGCGACGAUCCAUAGCUGGUCUGAGAGGAUGAUCAGCCACAUUGGGACUGAGACACGGCCCAAACUCCUACGGGAGGCAGCAGUGGGGAAUAUUGGACAAUGGGCGCAAGCCUGAUCCAGCCAUGCCGCGUGAGUGAUGAAGGCCUUAGGGUUGUAAAACUCUUUCACCGAUGAAGAUAAUGACGGUAGUCGGAGAAGAAGCCCCGGCUAACUUCGUGCCAGCAGCCGCGGUAAUACGAAGGGGGCUAGCGUUGUUCGGAAUUACUGGGCGUAAAGCGCACGUAGGCGGAUAUUUAAGUCAGGGGUGAAAUCCCAGAGCUCAACUCUGGAACUGCCUUUGAUACUGGGUAUCUUGAGUAUGGAAGAGGUAAGUGGAAUUGCGAGU
rnacentral:rRNA from 1 species